UGGAUGGGGUUCAGUUGAAGACCCAGACCUGGAGUGCUCGUUGCCGAUUCUCGAGUUCAAGAACUCGGAAAAUGUAACGCAAUGACGUUAUCAUCACAAAUCAGCGAGCUGUUUUUGUAAUGUUUCUCCUUUCACUGUGAAAAGGAACAGCUCUCUUUACCCUUUACUGGGAUGUGGAAUUGUUGGGUUCACAGGACUACACAGGCUUCUCCCCACAAUGAGGUGACAAUCCACGGAGAAGAAUGCCGUCUGGAUCUAUGCUCCUCGUAGGGUCACCCAUGGCGGUAAGGUCAAGGGUGAGGUCCCUGACAAAGCACAAUACAACCAAGAUCUCAACGGUGGAACAGGCGGACAAAGUUACUUCGAACUCAAUGGCUGUGAAAGUGGGUGAAGGCUGCAACAAAUCCAUCAGCUCCAAUCGUUGUGGUUUCCAUGCCAUUGGGAUCAGCUGGUUGAUUUGUGAAGUAUCGCAUGCUUCUUGGAGUGCAACAUCAAGUACACAUUAAACAAGUACAUGCACGGGCGUCUUCACUCUAUGGGCCACUUCUUCAGAACAAAGACCAUCAUCCUGGACCUUGAGGGAUUGCCACGACGACGAAUUUAUGGUUGCUAUAUAGCAAGACAAAAUGUUUAAUGUUUCUGUGCUGUCUGAUCUGGCUUCCAGUUCCUGAAGAGACUGGACUCCUUACAGAGUUCUUCAUACUUACAGCAAAUGAUAAUGUUCUUAGCAGGAAAGACUCUGCAUUCAAGUGUGGAUGAUUUGUCAAAGUAUUUGAAGAACUGCUUGAAAAUAGGAAUGUUGUUCUCUGAUAACAGUCCUGUCAGCCUUAUAGACUUCUCUGCAGCAGAACUUGUUCAGUACUGGCAUAUGGAUAUCCUUAGCCCUGACAAAAAAGCUUCACCACAACCAGCUUUUGCUUUCAAAUAAACCAAAUUCAGAGAUAAUUUGAAUGUACCAUAACUGCCUGACAAAUGAUCAUUGAUGUGUGUGAUAUUGAUGAGACUGAUACCACUUCUGUAUCAACAAUACUCUGGCUUGAGGUUUACAAGCUAAUGAAUGACAGUGAAAUUGUGAAUGCAGAAAUCGCCAGAAUUUAGUAACAAAUUGCUGCUGGGUAGCAGGUUGAACUCCCAAAAUCAACACUUGAUAUUGUCCAUUCACCCUUUGUGUUCAUGGGAGAACUAGGUCCUAGGUGCAGCCCAGGGCAUUUGCCCUUGAGUUAAAAGGAAGGGAAUGGCUGUGACAGUCUCAAGUAUAAGUUUAUUUAUUUAAAAAUUCUGUACACUUAUAGAUAGGUUAUCAAUUCACUAUCACUUUUCAAGAUUUAAAAAUAAAUUACUUAAUUCUCUUGGA